UACCAGCACCCCGAGUGAUCGGGACGAUUAUUGGGCCUAAAGCAUCCGUAGCCGGUCCUGCAAGUCUUCCGUUAAAUCCAGCUGCUUAACAGAUGGGCUGCGGAGGAUACUACAGGGCUAGGAGGCGGGAGAGGCAAGCGGUACUUUAUGGGUAGGGGUAAAAUCCGUUGAUCCAUAGAAGACCACCAGUGGCGAAGGCGGCUUGCCAGAACGCGCUCGACGGUGAGGGAUGAAAGCUGGGGGAGCAAACCGG
rnacentral:rRNA from 1 species